rnacentral:rRNA from 1 species
CCUACGGGCGGCAGCAGUGAGGAAUAUUGGUCAAUGGACGAGAGUCUGAACCAGCCAAGCAGCGUGAAGGAUGACUGCCCUAUGGGUUGUAAACUGCUUUUAUAAAGGAAUAAACCGAGGUACGUGUGUCUUUCUGCAUGUACUGUACGUAUAAGGAUCGGCUAACUCCGUGCCAGCAGCCGCGGUACUACGGAGGAUCCGAGCGUUAUCCGGAUUUAUUGGGUUUAAAGGGAGCGUAGAUGGGUUGUUAAGUCAGUUGUGAAAGUUUGCGGCUCAACCGUGGAAGUGCAAUUGAUACUGGCAAUCUAGAGUGCAGAUGAGGUAGGCGGAAUUCAUGGUGUAGCGGUGAAAUGCUUAGAGAUCACGAAGAACCCCGAUUGCGAAGGCAGCUUACUAAACUGUAACUGACAUUGAUGCUCGAAAGUGUGGGGAGCAAACAGGAUUAGAUACCCGAGUAGUC